rnacentral:rRNA from 1 species
AUUGAACGCUGGCGGCAUGCUUUACACAUGCAAGUCGAACGGUAACAGGCCGCAAGGUGCUGACGAGUGGCGUACGGGUGAGUAAUGCAUCGGAACGUGCCCAGUCGUGGGGGAUAACUACUCGGAAGAGUAGCUAAUACCGCAUACGAUCUAUGGAUGACAGCGGGGGACCGUAAGGCCUCGCGCGAUUGGAGCGGCCGAUGUCAGAUUAGGUAGAUGGUGGGGUGAAGGCUCACCAAGCCAACGAUCUGUAGCUGGGCUGAGAGGACGACCAGCCACACUGGAACUGAGACGCGGCCCAGACUACUACGGGAGGCAGCGGUGGGGAAUUUUGGACAAUGGGCGCAAGCCUGAUCCAGCAAUGCCGCGUGCAGGAAGAAGGCCUUCGGGUUGUAAAUUUCUUUUGUACGGAACGAAACGGCUCUGGUUAAUACCCGGGGCUAAUGACGGUACCGUAAGAAUAAGCACCGGCUAACUACGUG